rnacentral:rRNA from 1 species
GACGAACGCUGGCGGCGUGCUUAACACAUGCAAGUCGAACGGUGAAGCAGGAGCUUGCUCUUGUGGAUCAGUGGCGAACGGGUGAGUAACACGUGAGUAACCUGCCCUUGACUCUGGGAUAAGCGUUGGAAACGACGUCUAAUACCGGAUAUUUCAACCGACGGCAUCGUCUGGUUGUGGAAAGAUUUUUUGGUCAAGGAUGGACUCGCGGCCUAUCAGCUUGUUGGUGAGGUAAUGGCUCACCAAGGCGACGACGGGUAGCCGGCCUGAGAGGGUGACCGGCCACACUGGGACUGAGACACGGCCCAGACUCCUACGGGUGCAG